AGAACUGAAUGGAUAAAAGCCAUAAGGAGAACAGAUCUAACAGAACUAAAAUUAAAAUAAAGUGGAAAGCCAGCCACUUUAGAGGACAUAAAUAAUGAAGAUUUGAUUCCAAACCAAAACAUGGGUUGCCAAAAUAAAAAGAAAAGGUGAUCUACAAUCCGAAGAGCUGAUAAAAGAAGUAAAUAUAAAGAAAAUAAUGCUGAGACUUCUCUCGAUGAUGAACCAACGCCAGAUAGUUUAAAUGUAGGAACUGCUGGAACUCCAACACAAACGUGUUUGACUAGUGAAGAUUUGGAUAAACAACAGGAGUUACAGCUCCCGGAGCGAACCGUGUCCCGUGAGAGAAACCCUGUCUGUGUAAACAUUAGGUGAGUGGUUCGCUCCGGGAGCUGUACUUUCAUUUUCCAAAGAAAUACUUAAUAAUCUAUCAAAUAGAUGUAGCAAAGUAAAGUUAUGUGAUAAUUCUUUAAAAGAUGACAAUAAAAAGUGUCUUUAUUAUAAAGGUUUAGAGUUCCCUAUUUUAAAUGUAGUUUUUAAUAAAAUCAAGCAACAUAUACCAACUAGUUCUAUAUCUGCUUUGGAACUAUGUCAACAGUAUUUGUUAAGAUCAAUUAAAUUACAACUAAACCAUCCAUUUAAAGAUAUUGCAUAUCAUUUUGGAAU
rnacentral:lncRNA from 1 species